AUAUGAUGAUACGCCAGCUGGCACCAGUCAUAGAGUGAUUUGUACUCCCUUCAUUGAUGACAAACGCUGCGGUCUACGACCAAACUCUGAU
rnacentral:snoRNA from 1 species